AAUCAAACAAUAACAGGCCAACAAAAUAUCAGACUCAUGCUCCAUUGGCAACCUUAAUCAAUUAUACAUCUAUAAAGUUACACAGUACAGUUUAAUUAUUUAUUUAGCUUUAAUACCGUGAUAGGAAAUAGGGUGAGGGGUCCUUACUUGUUUCGAGGUCUGAAUACGGCUCUACAGUGUGCCUACAGGCUGUCCCUAAUUUUCCUGAAUUUUUUC
rnacentral:lncRNA from 1 species